AUGUAUAUUGUAGGUAUUUUUGUAACUAAUUUAGCAAUAGAGGUUAGUGUAAAGGCAUUGUUCUGUUUAUUAAACUGUUUGUUUUUCCGUCUUUGUCUUAGGUUGGAUGAUGAUGUUUGGGAAGUUCAAGUACAUUUUCAUAACAGAGAUAACCUUGAGAGGACCAUGUGCAUUUCAGACAUAACAAAUCAUAAUCUGAUAGAACUCAUAGAGACUGAAGGAUAUGGUUCUAGGGAUUACAUGUGUUUUGUUAGAAAUGUUGGUGUGGGGAUAACAGGAUUGGAAGAGACUAGUGAUGAUGAUAAGGUGGAUGAAAUGCUUAACCAUAUUGCUAAUGAAGAUAAGAAGAUAGUUAACCUCACAGUCACUAGGGACACCGGUCCAAGACCUGUUGAUCUAAAUAAAUGCCAUGUUUGUGAGCAGCAACUUCCUUUUAGUGAUUUUGGAGAGCCCACCAUGUAUGAAAUAAAUAAUGAUGGAGUUCUGUUCAUAUCACCAUCCAAAAAUUUAGAGGGAGCAGCACAAGUUCAGCACGCAAAUGCACUCUAG
rnacentral:rRNA from 1 species